CAGGUAACAACUCUUGACCUGAUAGGUAAGUAUACAGGAGGAAACAGGACGGGAGGCAGAGGAUCAAGCUCCAGGAGAGGGACAGGCUGAGCAGCAGUGGGAGAGAAAAACACUAGGAGAAGACAACCAGAAGUUGGGGCUGGAUCAAGUCUUUGUUCUGUCAUUGACGUGUAACAUUCUACAAAAGGCCUGAUCAGCACUGUCAAGAUUAUCUAAAAGAAGGAACUUCUGAGAAAUGGUCACAGUCAAGAGGAACCUAAGGAGCCAUGAGCAAUAAAUGUCAUGCAGGAUCUUGGAUAUGACUCUGGAGCAGAACAAGGA